ACGCUGGCGGCAGGCCUAACACAUGCAAGUCGAGCGGCAGCACAGGUACUUGUACCGGGUGGCGAGCGGCGGACGGGUGAGUAAUGCCUAGGAAUCUGCCUGGUAGUGGGGGAUAACGUUCGGAAACGGACGCUAAUACCGCAUACGUCCUACGGGAGAAAGUGGGGGAUCUUCGGACCUCACGCUAUCAGAUGAGCCUAGGUCGGAUUAGCUAGUUGGUGAGGUAAUGGCUCACCAAGGCGACGAUCCGUAACUGGUCUGAGAGGAUGAUCAGUCACACUGGAACUGAGACACGGUCCAGACUCCUACGGGAGGCAGCAGUGGGGAAUAUUGGACAAUGGGCGAAAGCCUGAUCCAGCCAUGCCGCGUGUGUGAAGAAGGUCUUCGGAUUGUAAAGCACUUUAAGUUGGGAGGAAGGGCAUUAACCUAAUACGUUGGUGUUUUGACGUUACCGACAGAAUAAGCACCGGCUAACUCUGUGCCAGCAGCCGCGGUAAUACAGAGGGUGCAAGCGUUAAUCGGAAUUACUGGGCGUAAAGCGCGCGUAGGUGGUUUGUUAAGUUGAAUGUGAAAUCCCCGGGCUCAACCUGGGAACUGCAUCCAAAACUGGCAAGCUAGAGUAUGGUAGAGGGUGGUGGAAUUUCCUGUGUAGCGGUGAAAUGCGUAGAUAUAGGAAGGAACACCAGUGGCGAAGGCGACCACCUGGACUGAUACUGACACUGAGGUGCGAAAGCGUGGGGAGCAAAC
rnacentral:rRNA from 1 species